AGGAGAGGCGAUUGGCGGCAGAGGAGAGGGCGGAGGAGAGGCGACUGGCGGAGGCGAAGUUGCAGGCAGUGUUGGCUGAGGAGAGGCGACUGGCUGAUGAGAGGACGCUGUCAGUGUUGGCUGAGGAGAGGCGACUAGCUGAUGAGAGGACAAAACAGGCUGUGUUGGCACAAACUAGUCAAUGCUUUGUAAUGUUUGUGGUUAGUUCCUUAAUUGCCAAACAUAUACAUGAACUCUUCUACUACCAGUACUUAAUCUUCACUCAAAUAUAAUUUGCAGGCUUAUUGUAGCCAGAAUGGUAUGCCCACUAUGUAGCUGUCUCAUCAAUCAGGCCAUGGAUCUAAUACUGAUAGAUCUUCACAUGCACGAGGCCCAAGCGGCAACAACCUUGGUGGUUCUCCGAAUUUAUGAGAUCGAGUAUGGUUAGUGCGGACAUAUUUCAUUUACAUAGGUCUCAAAUUUGUCAACAUAGAGACCUGUAGCUAUCUGGAUUCUUGAAGGUUGCCACCUGGAUGUUGUUCGGACUACGACAUGGACAUGAAGGCAUUUGUUGUAGUGCCAAAUCUUACGUAGUAC
rnacentral:lncRNA from 1 species